rnacentral:tRNA from 1 species
GCCUUCGUAGUGUAAUGGUCAACGCACUCGGCGUGUAUUUGAGAGGUCCGUGGUUCGAGUCUCGCCGAGGGCA